rnacentral:rRNA from 1 species
GAUGAACGCUGGCGGCGUGCCUAAUACAUGCAAGUCGAGCGAACAGACGAGGAGCUUGCUCCUCUGACGUUAGCGGCGGACGGGUGAGUAACACGUGGAUAACCUACCUAUAAGACUGGGAUAACUUCGGGAAACCGGAGCUAAUACCGGAUAAUAUAUUGAACCGCAUGGUUCAAUAGUGAAAGACGGUUUUGCUGUCACUUAUAGAUGGAUCCGCGCCGCAUUAGCUAGUUGGUAAGGUAAUGGCUUACCAAGGCGACGAUACGUAGCCGACCUGAGAGGGUGAUCGGCCACACUGGAACUGAGACACGGUCCAGACUCCUACGGGAGGCAGCAGUAGGGAAUCUUCCGCAAUGGGCGAAAGCCUGACGGAGCAACGCCGCGUGAGUGAUGAAGGUCUUCGGAUCGUAAAACUCUGUUAUUAGGGAAGAACAAAUGUGUAAGUAACUAUGCACGUCUUGACGGUACCUAAUCAGAAAGCCACGGCUAACUACGUG